rnacentral:lncRNA from 1 species
AAACUGCUGGAAUUACAAGCAUGAGCCACCGCACUUGGCCAACUCUGGUUCUUUCUACUUCAAAAAAUAUCUCAACAAAUUUUCAGUUCAAGCUAAAAAAAUUUAUACGACCUCUUCCAUACAUAUUGUACCAAAUGCUAGAAGGGGUAUAAAAAAAGGUUAUCUAUCACCCCACCACUAAGGGAUUGGCAAAGACCAUUUUGUUAACUAUAUGAACUGCAAGAUUCAUCAUGGACAUGUGUUUCAAAAUAAUCCUUCCAAGGAGACUUACAAAGACAGCCCCAACCCGUUCAGAGACAACCACAGGUACUCACCCGAGCAGCUUCCACAAUCGCACUUUCAAACUCUCGGUUAUAAACCAAAAAACUGUGAAUUCUUCUUGGCUUGUAAAGAUACACAAAAAAUUCUCUAUCAUCUCAGAACAGUCUAUCUGGUUAG